ACCACCCCUAUGGGCUAUGGCCCUAUGAUUUUGUCUUUUCUCACUUUAGUACUCUAUAACUUAAAGUGUAUCAAAUUAGUGUCCAACUUUUCUAUUAAUAUUUUAUUAAAUUUUAUACAAAAAACUUCUGAUAUCUCACCUAAAUUUAUUGAAUAUUCACUUUAGUAUCAUUUAGUUUUAACUUUGUUACUGAUUUAACGAAAAAAAUUAGUAGAAUCGGUAUUAAAAAGAUAAAAAUAAAAUUAUAGGACACUAAAUUCAUACACUUUAAAUCACAAAAUACUAAAGUGAGAAACUAUGAAACUAUAGGGGUAGUAUUUGAAGUUUAUCCUAUAAUAAAAUAAAAUAA
rnacentral:lncRNA from 1 species